rnacentral:lncRNA from 1 species
CAUGCACUGCACGAAUCUGUCGAUUUUCAAACUCCAGAAGGACCUUAACGAUCUUUUGGAAUGGGAGUGGAUCAAAAGAAAAAGAUGCCAACGUCAACACGGCAUCAAACUCCAAUGGAAGUCCAGCGAGAAUGACUUCGACUUUUUAGCCUCAGAGACAACAGAUCCGGACGCCUCCAGCAGAGCACGGGUAUUUUGUAUUUUGGCAAUGUACUCUUUGACGAUUAAUGCACCUUUCUUGAUUGAAUGAAGAUCAUACUUGAUUCUGGACAGUUUAGCCCCAGUCACAGCAGCGAUUAGCAGUGCUCCAUAUAUCACAAGCUGUUUUGGCAUAUAUAAAAUAUGACAAUAACGAUGAUGCACUAAUUGUAGAAAGUAACCACAAGAGAAGUAAUUUAUCUUGUUGGAUGAAGUAUGAAGCAUCAGGAUUUGGAGUCAAGGCUCCAUCAGGAGAGGUCACAAAACGAGCCGGAACAGGUAAAGUACCUUCGAGGAACCCUUGCAAUUCAUAGCCUUCUACGAUCAAUCUUACAUGCUGUUGCCAUUGCAAAAAAUACCAUCAUCUAACUUUAUUGUAUCGUGACGAGGAAAUGAUUGGAUCAGACGAGAUCCAGAAAAAGAACCAGUGAAAGUAGAUUCGUUGGAGUUUGCCAUGGAUUCAACGGAGAAGAGAGGUCCCAUAAAGCCAAGCGACUGAUACCAUGUAAGAAAUAGUAAUAAAGAACAAUUGAAAAAAUGAUUAUACUUAGAAAUCUGCUUAGUAUUCUUAUCUACUUUACCAAUUACAGAGAUGAAAUGAAUAACUGCUACUAACCAAUUGUUUACCUGACUCAAUAACAGACUGUUAACAAACUAACAGUCCCUGAACUCUUUACUCAAAC